rnacentral:rRNA from 1 species
UCCUGGCUCAGGAUGAACGCUGGCGGCGUGCUUAACACAUGCAAGUCGAACGGUGAAGCCAAGCUUGCUUGGUGGAUCAGUGGCGAACGGGUGAGUAACACGUGAGCAACCUGCCCCGGACUCUGGGAUAAGCGCUGGAAACGGCGUCUAAUACCGGAUAUGAACCACAGCCGCAUGGUUGGUGGUUGGAAAGAUUUUUUGGUUCGGGAUGGGCUCGCGGCCUAUCAGCUUGUUGGUGAGGUAAUGGCUCACCAAGGCGUCGACGGGUAGCCGGCCUGAGAGGGUGACCGGCCACACUGGGACUGAGACACGGCCCAGACUCCUACGGGAGGCAGCAGUGGGGAAUAUUGCACAAUGGGCGGAAGCCUGAUGCAGCAACGCCGCGUGAGGGAUGACGGCCUUCGGGUUGUAAACCUCUUUUAGCAAGGAAGAAGCGAAAGUGACGGUACUUGCAGAAAAAGCGCCGGCUAACUACGUGCCAGCAGCCGCGGUAAUACGUAGGGCGCAAGCGUUAUCCGGAAUUAUUGGGCGUAAAGAGCUCGUAGGCGGUUUGUCGCGUCUGCUGUGAAAACUGGAGGCUCAACCUCCAGCCUGCAGUGGGUACGGGCAGACUAGAGUGCGGUAGGGGAGAUUGGAAUUCCUGGUGUAGCGGUGGAAUGCGCAGAUAUCAGGAGGAACACCGAUGGCGAAGGCAGAUCUCUGGGCCGUAACUGACGCUGAGGAGCGAAAGGGUGGGGAGCAAACAGGCUUAGAUACCCUGGUAGUCCACCCCGUAAACGUUGGGAACAUAGUUGUGGGGGCCAUUCCACGGUCUCCGUGACGCAGCUAACGCAUUAAG